AUCAUUUUAGCCCCAGCCUGAGCGUCUGCCACCGUCUCUCAAAGGAAAGAUCAAGUCCAAGGCCAUCAUCUCCUCCUCUGAGUCGUCUUCAGAUGAGGAUGGACUGAAAAUAGCUGAAGACAGACACCAGAGAGACAGUGGUUCAGGGUCUGAUGACGAGGGCGGCCACAGGAAGCGCAUCGCGUCCGACAGCGACUCGGACGGAGGGAGGAACCGCUCGGGCAGCGAGGCCGGCAGCCCCCGGCGCUCCGUGGGAUCCGAGGAUGACGACUCCGGCAGCGACCGUCCGGUGAAGAAGAGGAGGGUGCAGCGGCAGUCCGACUCGGAGCAGUCGGACAACGAGAGCAAGAGGAGUCGGUCGGGAUCGGACGAGGAGUCCCGGCCCGGUUCGCCUGCCGCGCCGUCAGACCGAGGAUCGGACAGGGGAUCUGAGGCGGGAUCGGACAACGAGGGCUCCCCGCGCCGCUCUGACAACGGCUCUGAACCCGAAGGCUCCAACAACGACGAUGACGACAGCGAUUAAAUCUUCCCCACAGACUUGUCUCAUGUAAAACUCUCCACGUCUGCGUUUUUAUUUCCUACGAAGAGCAGGGAUUUCUGUCCAUAUAAUGAGUUAGUCUAGAAGAGUGUAGUUAUUUUGGCUCAGUGUUUUAUUUCUCACGUCUUAGUGGAAACGUCUUUUCACAGAUGCUGUUUUGUUAAAGGUAGAUCAGGUGAUUUGAGGUGAACUAAAAGGUGUAAACAUCUAUUUUCUAUCUCAGUCAGAGAAGACACUGACUGCGAAAUGGGAAGAUGCUUCAACAAAAUGUCAAAUAAAAAAAGA